GAUGAACGCUAGCGGCAGGCCUAAUACAUGCAAGUCGAACGGUAAGGCCCUUUCGGGGGUACACGAGUGGCGGACGGGUGCGUAACGCGUAUGCAACAUGCCUUCCAGCGGGGGAUAUACCAGGGAAACUUGGCGCAAUACCCCAUAGAAUUACGGGACCGCAUGGUCUUGUGAUUAAAACUCCGGUGCUGGGAGAUUGGCAUGCGUGACAUUAGCUAGUUGGCGGGGUAACGGCCCACCAAGGCGACGAUGUCUAGCUGGUCUGAGAGGAUGAUCAGCCACACUGGGACUGAGACACGGCCCAGACUCCUACGGGAGGCAGCAGUGGGGAAUUUUGGACAAUGGACGCAAGUCUGAUCCAGCAAUGCCGCGUGCAGGACGAAGGCCUCGGUUGUAAC
rnacentral:rRNA from 1 species